AUACAGAAGCCUGAAAAUGAAAGAGAACAUAUAUGUAUUCUAGGACCUGAGAAGUUCUCUUUGGCUGGAAUAAGUUAUAAGUUGGAGUACUAAAAUACUAAGCUGGAGUUCUGAGCAGGGUCCUUUUCAAGCAGUGUCUUGAAAGUCUUGUUAAAGGGUUUGGGGCUUACACUGAGGGAAAAAAGGAGCCCCUGAAGAAUUUUAAGCAGGAUGAGACUUGGAGGGUCGACAUAAUCAGACUUGCCUUUUUGAAAGAUGAUUUUAACUGUGAAGAAUGGGUGAUGGAGAAGAUUGGAAGCAGAGAGACAGUUAGUUGUAGGCUGUGAGUAAUUCAGGUGAGCCCUAAACUAGCUAUCUGGCAGUGGAGAUGGAAAAUAAGUCAAAUUGUAGAGAUUUGGAAAGUAUAAUAGACCGAUAAUUGAGGCCAUGCGGUCACCUAAGGCAUGUUUUAUAUGGCACCUGGUGAAUAUUAAGAGAGGGAGAAAUGAAUAGAUUAUGGAUAGAUGAGAGUGAGUUCAGUUUGGGGAUAUGUUGAGUUUAAGGUACCUAUGGAAAAUUAAGGUGCAGAUGUCCAUGGUUCUGGUGUCAUGAGAAAUACCUAGGCUGCAGGUAGAAUCUGUAAGAUCCAUCAGGAAUCAUGUCUGUUUUCUUCAUCACUGAAUAUGCCUGGGACAUAGCAAGCCCCCAGUAAACAACCGUCAAAGUUGAGCUACUACCAUAGUAGUUGGUGACUAAAACAGUGUGCGAGUAUGAUACUCCCUAGGAAAUUUAUAGAAUGAAAAGAGUAGAAUACUUAUGAUAGCAAAGGAAACCACAUUUAAGGAGUAGGGGGAAAAAAAGACUCCACAAGAAGACUGUGGGUUAGUCAUGGAGGAAAGCCAGCAGAGCUAUAAUGGAAGACAGGAGAAAGAGGUUUCAAGAAGGGGUGUGAGGUAUCAGUGGUAUCAAGCAUUAGAGCAAGAGAUGAAAUAAAGUGGCCAUUGAAUUUAACAAUAUAGAAGCCAUAGAUGACCUUGGUAAGAGCUAUUCAGCAAGAGUACAGUGGGUUAGAUGAAUGAUUGAGUAUAGUCUGUUCUUUCAAGAAAUUUGACUUUGGCUUUUCUUUAGGUUAUGCAGAACUUAUGGUGAUGAAUAAGCAAGUAAAACUUCAGAACAGGACUGCUAAAUUAUCUUUUCUAGGUGCAUCUGUCUACAUCAUGGAGAAAGCAUGAGUUUUGGCCGUGGGGCAGACUUUGGUUUGAACUGGUAAACUUUGAUUUACUAGUUACCUGUAUGAAUUCUCUUGAGUUCCACUUUAUUUAUGAAAUGAGGAUAGUCAUAUCCAGUUCAUGGAAUUAAUAUGAACACAAGAUUAUUUACAGCACAGGGUUGUCACAUAGUAAGUUCUCAACAAACAUUUAGUUUCCUUUUUCCUAUUCUUCCUACUAUUGCCAUGAAAAGGGCAGGUUAGAAAUGUAAUCUCUCCCUUUUCACUGAUGAGAUGAGAAAAUACUUCAGUACAGAACCCCAAAGCUUUUAAAUUUAUCCUUAACUCUUAAAUAUUUAGCUUGUCCUUCACUAAUUUAAUUGAUCCUUAGACUUCUAGACUCAAACACCUGUAUUAGGCUCUAGUUUUUUAGGGAAUAGCAAAUGCCGAAAUGAAUUGGUGGGAUACAAUACCUAAUGUAAGAUUUUGUCUCAAGCUUUUCCUUUUCAUAUUACCUGGCCUCACGUGGUGGUAAAUGUAUCACUAUUCUUUCUUUUAUAAAGAUGUUACUGUUGGUGAUGUGGAAAGGCAAUACAUAGGGACAUCUGUUUCUGACAAUAUGGCAGACUGCAUGCCCUGAGGAACCCUCCUAUUGGUAUAAAAGAUCUGAAAUGCUGGACAAGAUUCAUUUAAAAGAAAAGUCUUUAAACGUUCAUUGCUGAGCUAGCGAGGAAGAAAGAUACCCUAUCACCUGUAGCAUUUUUCCCAAAAGUAUUUGACCUGAACCUAAUCAUGUGGAAUAAUUAGACAAAAGUGGAAUAUAGGACAUUUACAAACAUGCCUGGUGUGAUUUCUUGAACUGUUGUGUAAAACAGGUGGUGAGACUGUUCUAGAUCAAACAGCAACAUGAAAUGCAUGAACUUAGAUUUGAUCUUGAAUUAAAUAAACUCAACCAUAAAAGACAUUUUAGGGACAUCUGUGGAAAUUUGUAUAUGAACUCUUACAUGAUAUGGAGUAUUUAAUUUUCUUAGAUGUGAUAAAGGUUUUGUGCUUAUAUGGAAGAAUGUCCUUUUUCUUAUGAGGUCCAUUCUGAAAUAUCUAGGGAUGAAGUGUCAUUCUGUUCUUUCAAAUGGUUAGGCAAAAUGUGUAUGUGUAUAAAAUAUGUAUGAGAGAGAGUGCAAAUGUGGCAAAGUAACA
rnacentral:lncRNA from 1 species